rnacentral:rRNA from 1 species
UACAGAGGUCUCAAGCGUUGUUCGGAUUCAUUGGGCGUAAAGGGUGCGUAGGCGGCGGGGUAAGUCAGGUGUGAAAUCCCGGAGCUCAACUCCGGAACUGCACUUGAUACUGCCUUGCUAGAGUACUGGAGAGGGAACUGGAAUUUACGGUGUAGCAGUGAAAUGCGUAGAUAUCGUAAGGAAGACCAGUGGCGAAGGCGAGUUCCUGGACAGUUACUGACGCUGAGGCACGAAGGCCAGGGGAGCAAACGGG